rnacentral:rRNA from 1 species
CCCUUAGAUGUUCUGGGCCGCACGCGCGCUACACUGACGAUGGCAACGAGUUUUUCCUUCGCCGAAAGGUGUGGGUAAUCUUUUGAAACAUCGUCGUGCUGGGGAUAGAUCAUUGCAAUUUUUGAUCUUGAACGAGGAAUUCCUAGUAAGCGCGAGUCAUCAGCUCGCGUUGAUUACGUCCCUGCCCUUUGUACACACCGUCCGUCGCUACUACCGAUUGAAUGGUUUAGUGAGGACUCCUGAUUGGCGCCGCCGCCCCGGCAACGGAGCAGCGGACUGCCGAGAAGUUGUUCAAACUUGAUCAUUUAGAGGAAGUAAAAGUCGUAACA